CACGGGUGAGUAACGCGUGGAUAAUCUGCCCUGUGAUCUGGGAUAACACUUCGAAAGGGGUGCUAAUACCGGAUAAGACCACGGAGUCUUAGGACUCUGCGGUAAAAGGUGGGGACCUUCGGGCCUACCGUCAUCGGAUGAGUCCGCGUACCAUUAGCUAGUUGGUAGGGUAAGAGCCUACCAAGGCGACGAUGGUUAGCUGGUCUGAGAGGAUGUUUUUUCUACACUGGAACUGAGACACGGUCCAGACUCCUACGGGAGGCAGCAGUGGGGAAUUGG
rnacentral:rRNA from 1 species